GAGCGGCGAACGGGUGAGUAACACGUGAGCAACCUGCCCUCGACUCUGGGAUAAGCCUGGGAAACCGGGUCUAAUACCGGAUACGACCCAUCAUCGCAUGGUGUGUGGGUGGAAAGAUUGAUUUCGGUCGGGGAUGGGCUCGCGGCCUAUCAGCUUGUUGGUGGGGUGACGGCCUACCAAGGCGACGACGGGUAACCGGCCUGAGAGGGCGACCGGUCACACUGGGACUGAGACACGGCCCAGACUCCUACGGGAGGCAGCAGUGGGGAAUAUUGCGCAAUGGGCGGAAGCCUGACGCAGCGACGCCGCGUGGGGGAUGACGGCCUUCGGGUUGUAAACCUCUUUCAGCGGGGACGAAGCCUCUUUUGGGGUGACGGUACCUGCAGAAGAAGCGCCGGCUAACUACGUGCCAGCAGCCGCGGUAAUACGUAGGGCGCGAGCGUUGUCCGGAAUUAUUGGGCGUAAAGAGCUCGUAGGCGGUUUGUCGCGUCGGAUGUGAAAGCCCACGGCUUAACUGUGGGUCUGCAUUCGAUACGGGCAGACUAGAGGCAGGUAGGGGAGCAUGGAAUUCCCGGUGUAGCGGUGAAAUGCGCAGAUAUCGGGAGGAACACCGGUGGCGAAGGCGGUGCUCUGGGCCUUGC
rnacentral:rRNA from 1 species